rnacentral:rRNA from 1 species
CCUACGGGAGGCAGCAGUGAGGAAUAUUGGUCAAUGGGCGCGAGCCUGAACCAGCCAAGUAGCGUGAAGGAUGACGGCCCUACGGGUUGUAAACUUCUAUUAUAAAGGAAUAAAGUGAGGCACGUGUGCCGUUUUGUAUGUACUUUAUGAAUAAGGAUCGGCUAACUCCGUGCCAGCAGCCGCGGUAAUACGGAGGAUCCGAGCGUUAUCCGGAUUUAUUGGGUUUAAAGGGAGCGUAGAUGGGUUGUUAAGUCAGUGGUGAAAGUUUGCGGCUCAACCGUAAAAUUGCAUUUGAUACGGGCAGUCUUGAGUACAGUUGCGGUAGGCGGAAUUCGUUGUGUAGCGG